rnacentral:lncRNA from 1 species
CUCAAGGUAGAGAGAGGACCCUGGGAACGAGGUUGCUCAGUCUUGCAUCGAAACGUUGGUUAACAAUACUUUUAAUCUUUCUUGUCAAAUUCUUUAACAAGCAACUUGUUAUUCGAUCUCAUAAUGUAUUUACCCAGGAUUUUCGUGACUUUUUUUCCUGCUUAAACAGUACUGAUCAAGAUCCUGUGUACAUACAACCACAUUUACAAUUUUACAAAAACAUAAGUAGGAGCUGUGAUUAAUGGCAAAUUUCCAUUGGAAAGCAGACCAUUAUGCAAUGUACAUGUAAUGCAGCUGUCUUCUCAAAUUGUAUGGUGUGGUGGCUCACAACUGCAAGGGCUUAAAUUAAUUCCGGUUUCCAGCUGUAUGGUAAAGGAUUGGAUUGUUAGUACUCCCCCUGGAUGAGAUACUAGUCAAGCAUAGUUAUCCAAUGGUAUUUGGUUUUAUAUGUACCAUUAUUUAUUUUUUUCAACUUCACCUAACUAAAAUACUUAGAUACUGGUACAUAAAAUGUUUACUAGGCAGGGAAGACCACUACAGCCUAGCCAACUACACAGUGGAUCCUUCAUUAAUAAGAAUUAAACUAAAGCUACUCAUUUAUAAACAAGAAAAAUUAAAAGGAAACAAAACAGAAAUUCAAAUGUACCAAGGUACCAUUAGCCUUCAGGAUACAACACAACAGUAGAAACCAGCAGAACCAACACCAAAAUACCUCAUCACUCUUUCCAGUCACAAAUUACACAGACAAUCCAGUGAACUGACCAAGACUCAAAAGAAAUACAUGUUGCUGACAUGAAGUGCAGAGACUUGUGCUAGCAAGUCAUGAUUCAUUUUGGUUUAAUUUCUGAUUUGGAUGACACAGUGAUACAAGUUUUUUAAGACAUUAGUGCCUAUAAGCCAAUUGCAUAGCAUAUGCAAAGCCAAACCAAAUGCAAAUCAAGGCUGUUGUCUAAGAAAAAAAUAUUAAUUACCAGGAGCCCAAUUAGGUUCCUAACCAUGAAAGCACUUGAGCUUAUAUGAAAAACAGUAAGUUUGGUCACUAAAAGGCAAAAGGUAGUCACCUGUGGCACCCAGGCACUCCUAGAGCACAGCCCUGAACAUGUUCACUUUUGACCCUCAGCCAGGCCCUCCUAGAGCACAGCCCUGUGAAUAUUUACUUUCAACCUUUGAAUGAAAACCAAGAAAAGAAGUCUAUAUCUCUGUAUUAUGUUGAAUAACAUUAUUUCCCAUCACCUGAUCUCCUUUUCUUAGUCCAAAGGUAUGCACCCUGACAGUUUUUACACACUGGAGUUACUGGAGAAGACUGGACUUUGUGUUGUACCAGGAAAUGGGUUUGGACAGAGGGAUGGAACUUUCCACUUUAGGCUGACAAUUUUACCUCCCAUUGAUGCCCUAAAACCUCUAUUUGAACGUUUUAAAGUCUUCCAUCAAGAUUUUAUGCGCAAGUACCGUGAUCCCAGCUCCACUCUUUAAAUUUGAAUGUUUCUGUGUUCUACCAAUUGUAAUCAUUUGUGUGGAAGAGGUGAAACUGUAUUUGCAUCAAGGAUUAGAAUCCGUUUACUGGAAUUUGAUCAAGCAAGCUGUAUUUUGCCAGCAUGGGUAUUUAGUAGAGUGCAAGCAGUUGAACAAGAAGUUAAAAAGGCAAGAGAGGGAGAUGGUGUUUUGCCAUUUUUGCCUCCCAUGAUCUGCUGAAGGGAGUGCACACUCACAACCUAGAGCCAGGAUCACCUACAGAUCAAUGGAUUUGAUGGACAUUGGUUAACAAUAAUAUAUCACAUUUUCAAUACACAGUCUGAUUGUUACAGGGUAAACCACCCUGGGUGGGGGGGGGGGGGGACUCCCUUAUUUGGUCUAUACGGGGACAUGCCACUAGACAGGGUAUGGUUUUUUGGCCUCGCUGUCCUGAACAGGGUAUACAAUUUUAAUUACUAGCCUCUGUCCUAAACACGGUCAGAACUUGUCCUUAACAGGGUAUUGUAUUACAAGCCGAGAGACGUUAACCGGCCAUUACAAGGUCAUCAAUCAACAUCAGAUCAUUUUCUGGACAAGAAUGCUAUUGUUGUCGGUAAAAUUUUUUUUCCACUUUUCAUUACUAUAUUUAGUGGGCAUUUCUUUGUGUUUCUCUGUCCUACACGGGGUAGGGUUUUAGAGUAUUUUGUCUUAAACAGGGUCAGGAUUUCAAACCCUCGACAACACUCCUAUACCCAAACAUGCGUCAAGUACCCCCCUUCCCCCCCCCCCUCCAGGGUAAACCAGUCCUGUACAGUCAAAUCUCUGCUUUAAGACAGUUUUCACCCAAGCCACCCACUAGAUUGGACAGUCUGAAACACACACUGUAAGGCACUACCUUAAAAGAGAUUGGCAGGGCAAGAGUGUUCAAAUAUUACCUGACUACACUACGCAAUAUGCAAAAUGCUUGUGUGUAAUAAUUUAACAUAUUUUCUUUCUGUUGGAUGGACACAAGCAACUAUGUACGUUAUAAAAUUAGCAUAAUAUUAUUUGUUCCUUACCUGACAAUCUCUAUUUGACUCUAAGCAAUAAAGAAAAUCUAACUUUCAAUUUUAUUAUUUUUCUGUCAAAGCAGAUUCGUAGUAAAUCACUUUCAUAUUCACAUGAUAAUGAACAUGGUAAAGGUCAGAGAUGCUGGGUGUUACUCACAAAACAUGAAAAUAAAGUAACAAUCCAAGACUGAAAUUUUUUGCUUUUAAAACUAAAAUGUUUGUCUACUGCAAAAGAGAGGCAGAAGGCAUCUUUUACAAUUUUUGGCUAGAAAACAGUUUGUGAACUGUAACUUGUGGAGAUGGUGUUAUCGAAUAUCUUGGCGUACAAAUCAAGUUAAGCAAUAAAAUAGUUAAUUAAGUUGGUAUCUGAAGGAGAGACCGUUGAAUGAAAAUUUAAUUUCCACAAAAAGAGGGCAUGCAAAUGACAUCUUCAUUUCGUUUUAGCUGAAAAGCUUUACACCAAAGUGCUAUUUUUUUUAUAAUGAACUGUCUCCUAAAGGAGUAAUUAUUUAUACGAGUGAAGAAAUAAAAUGGAUUUCGUCAAGAAA